CAGCCCUCUCGUGCCAAAGGUUCUGGAGGCAUGAGGUGGGGGCACCGGACCUGAGCUGCUCCUCUCCCUGCUCAGUCUCCCAGGUUGAGCAAUUGUUCCCAGGAAUAUCUUUUAAUAUCCCAAAUUCUUCUGGGAUGGGUUACUAAAGGCCCUAAAGAUGAUCCCUUUCCGUCUAUGGAUGAAGAAAGUGUGCUCCAGAAGGAAAAGUGACUUGCCCAAGGACAUACGACCGGGCUUGGAACUGGGAGGGUGUCAGCCUGGAGCUGCCUUCAUUUGGAAAGUAACUGCUCCACAGUGAAGUCAACAAAGGAAGCAGAAAGAUGGGAGCCCAAGUCCUGGUGGCAUCAUUUGAACCCCUAGAUCCAGCUGUACCUGAAGCAGAUAAGCUCAAUUAUUUUUUGUUUGUUUGUUUGUUUCUUGAGUCAGUACAUUUCCUUUUCAUUUAAGCCUCUUGGAAUUGUGUUUUCCAUCUCUUGCAACCCAGGAUUAUGACCAAUACAGUGGCCUCAAGCCAGUUUUGCAGU